GCCCAUGAGGUGUAACACGCCAAAAUGCAAAUUUGGAGACGCACCCUAAAGGUGCCGGGGCUUCUCCCGUUUUAAAGAGACGGGAGAAGA
rnacentral:tRNA from 1 species